rnacentral:rRNA from 1 species
UACUGAGUUAUCCAAACUCCAACCCUAUGUGAACCUACUGCCGUUGCCUCGGCGGGCCGCGCUUACCCGGUAGCUACCCUGUAGCUACCCGGUAGCGCGUUACGGGCCCGCCGGUGGACUUCUCAACUCUGUUAUAUAUAUACGUAUCUCUGAAUGCUUCUAACUAAAUAAGUUAAAACUUUCAACAACGGAUCUCUUGGUUCUGGCAUCGAUGAAGAACGCAGCGAAAUGCGAUAAGUAAUGUGAAUUGCAGAAUUCAGUGAAUCAUCGAAUCUUUGAACGCACAUUGCGCCCAUUAGUAUUCUAGUGGGCAUGCCUGUUCGAGCGUCAUUUCAACCCUUAAGCCCUGUUGCUUAGUGUUGGGAUUCUAGGCCCCCAGGGCCCUAGUUCCUCAAAGUGAUCGGCGGAGUCGGCGUAUACUCUGAGCGUAGUAGUGUUCUUCUCGCUUUUGUAGUAGCCCCGGCGGCUUGCCGUAAAACCCCUAUAUCUUAGUGGUUGACCUCGAAUCAGGUAGGAAUACCCGCUGAACUUAAGCAUAUCAAUAA